rnacentral:rRNA from 1 species
GACGAACCGUGCGAACGUUAUUCGGAAUCACUGGGCUUAAAGCGCGUGUAGGCGGAAGGGCACGUCCGUUGCUGAAAUCCCCCGGCUCAACCGGGGAACGGGCGCGGAUACGACUCUUCUGGAGGGGCGUAGGGGGACCUGGAACUUCCGGUGGAGCGGUGAAAUGCGUUGAGAUCGGAAGGAACGCCCGUGGCGAAAGCGAGGUCCUGGACGCCUACUGACGCUGAGGCGCGAAAGCUAGGGGAGCAAACAGG